GCUAAGUAUACGGCAGCUAUACAGAAUCAGUGCUAUGUACUUUGAUGACAUUUAUGACAUGAGCAGCGUUUCUUCAGAUGUUAUUUCAAGCAUGAUGAUUAGAUUGAUAGAUGACUUGACCGAUGGUGUACGGAGUGACUUUCUUUUGGAGGACGACUUGAGCAUUCCAUUCACCGUAGAGGAUUUAUCAAAAUCAACGGAACAAGGGGAUGUAAACGACAUUGAUACU